GUAGUAGCAAAUAUUCGAAUGAGCUCUUGGAUGACUGAAGUGGAGAAGGGUUUCGUGUCAACAGCGUUGAACACGAGUUAGCCAAUCCUAAGCCGCAUGGGAACCCUGUACACACCCCAAUACGAUGCUGGCGAAAGGGAAUCCGGUUACCAUUCCGGAGCCUGUUGAGUACCCGUUCUGCGCUGGCGUAGGCAUUCGCACCGUCGUAUGUGUUUGCUUUGCGUCGUGUGUUAGCUUCAUGGCAACAUAAAUCCUUUCUUCGAGAAGCCAACGAGGGGCAUCGGAAGAGUUUUCUUUUCUGUUUUACAGCCACCACCGACCAUGGAAGUCACUCACAGAGAGAUAUGGUUGGACGCGCUGUAGAGCACGGCCGUCGCCACUGCCGUGUCGAUGCACUCUUCUUGGACCAUGAAAAUCGAGACUGAUGAGCGAUGCGAUCACGUGGUGCAAGUCGUCCAAGCUCGCAACCUCAUCGUAUACGAUGUCUGCUGUAGCGGACGUAUGUAACCGACGUCGACUCAGGUCUCCAAGGUGUCAGAGCUCUGUC
rnacentral:rRNA from 1 species